rnacentral:misc_RNA from 1 species
GUGAAUCAUCGAAUCUUUGAACGCAAAUUGCACUCUCCGGUUUUCCGGGAGAGUAUGCCUGUUUGAGGGUCUGUUUAAAAAAUAAUCGCGGCUGCUGCUGUGGUGGCUCUUUGGCAUUGGGUCAUCUUUAUCCUUUCGGUUGUAAGAGACCUCAAAUUUUUUUUACGUUUUCUACGAACGUUUCU